rnacentral:rRNA from 1 species
UGGCUCUUUGAAAAUAAAGCAUAAAGAGUCAAGCCUGCCCAGUGAUAUAUUAUUUAACGGCCGCAGUAUUUUGACUGUGCAAAGGUAGCAUAAUCAUUUGCCCUAUAAUUGAGGGCUAGUAUGAAUGGUUUAACAAGAACAAAGCUGUCUCUAAUAAAGUUUUUUAGAAAUUAAUUUUUAGGUGAAGAAGCCUAAAUUUAACUAAAAGACGAGAAGACCCUAUCGAGCUUUAAAAAAUUUUUAGAAAAACUAAUAAUCAUUUUUGGUUGGGGCGACCGAGGAACAACUAAAGCUUCCUUAAAUUCUAACACUUUUUAGUAUUGAUCCAAUAAUAUUGACUAAAAAAUAAGCUACCGUAGGGAUAACAGCGUAAUUUUCUUUAAGAGUUCAUAUUAAAAAGAAAUUUUGCGACCUCGAUGUUGGACUAAAGUUUCCCAAAGAUGCAGAAGUCUUUAAAGGUUGGUCUGUU